ACGAGUUGGAUGACUGUUCAAAAUAAAAAUCCCAGUCUGAGCUCGGUUUUUUUUCAGAUUCCCCAGUUGUCUUCAACUCACUGAAGUCGGAAGUCAGAGAUUGACGACUUUCGAGAUGUUUUGAAUGCACCACUAGAGACCUAGGCUCCCCUCAACCCACAAAUUUAGUGGACACUUCUGAUGACGUCUGGCAGGAUUUCCUUUUGAUUUCCUACACCAUCAUGGUUGUCAAGACAGGCUCUCUGGCUCGCAGGAUAUCCCACGCAUGCCCCUUCAAGGCUCCGAUGAAGUACAUUGAGACAGAGCCGAAGAAGGGCUUGGUGGUAGUGGAGGAACAGAAAGUUGAAGGUGAAGGAACACAGAAGACCUCCUGUACGAGUUGCCAGAGAACAUCCGGACCAAGAAGACAGAGGAGAUGUUGUCCAAUAAAAUGCUUAAUGGGAACCCCGAGGUUGACCUGGGCAUUUAGUGAGUUGUCUCAAAAUGCUUCUGCGGCUGUGGUAGUGCCCAGGUUUUGGAGCUUGGGGUAGUUCGUUUUUUUUGCAUUUUGCAGUUGUUGAAACUGUAUUAAUGUCGGCAAUAAUCUUACCGCAACAAAUCCAGUGACUGAAAACCUUGCACAACAGCUUUGGUGUUUGUUUAUUUCUAUUACAAUCUUUAAGCACAUCUUGUUUGACCCUGUCACGUUCUGACCUUUAUUUCCUUUGUUUUGUCUUUAUUUAGUAUGGUCAGGGCGUGAGUUGGGGUGGGCAGUCUAUGUUUGAAUUUCUAGGUUUUCCUAUUUCAGUGUUUGGCCUGAUAUGGUUCUCAAUCAGAGGCAGUUGUUUUGUGUUGUCUCUGAUUGGGAACCAUAUUUAGGUAGCCUGUUUUGUGUUGGGUUUUGUGGGUGGUUGUUUUUAGUCUUUGUGUGUCUGCACCAGAUAGAACUGUUUCGGUUGUCACUUUUGUUGUUUUGUAUUUUGAGUGUUCACCUUUAUUAAAACAAGAUGAACAAUUA